rnacentral:rRNA from 1 species
ACGAAAGCGUGGGGAGCAAACAGGAUUAGAUACCCUGGUAGUCCACGCCGUAAACGAUGAGUACUAAACGUUGGGUAAAACCAGUGUUGAAGUUAACACAUUAAGUACUCCGCCUGAGUAGUACGUACGCAAGUAUGAAACUUAAAGGAAUUGACGGGACUCCGCACAAGCGGUGGAUCAUGUUGUUUAAUUCGAAGGUACCCGAAAAACCUCACCAGGUCUUGACAUGCUUCUGCAAAACUGUAGAAACACAGUGGAGGUUAUCAGUUGCACAGGUGGUGCAUGGUUGUCGUCAGCUCGUGUCGUGAGAUGUUGGGUUAAGUCCCGCAACGAGCGCAACCCUUAUUGUUAGUUACCAGCACGUAAUGGUGGGGACUUUAGCAAGACUGCCAGUGAUAAAUUGGAGGAAGGUGAGGACGACGUCAAAUCAUCAUGCCCCUUAUGACCUGGGCUACAAACGUGAUACAAUGGCUGUUACAAAGGGUAGCUGAAGCGCAAGUUUUUGGCGAAUCUCAAAAAAACAGUCUCAGUUCGGAUUGAAGUCUGCAACUCGACUUC